ACUUAAAUAAUUUAAAAAAAAUAUUGAUUUGUGGAGUCAAAAAUAUGAAUAAAUCAUUUUAGGUU
rnacentral:tRNA from 1 species